UAAUGUCAGAGACAUAACUGGAUGUCGUUAAUACGAAAAAACUGACACGCUCCCAUCACUUUUCCGAAUAUCAGUUAGUUGAUUGAUUGUAUGAAUUGUGCAAGCUUUACUCUUUUUCACUAAUAGAAUUUGAAGCGAUACACCUACAUUAAAGUACAGAUUAGUUACAUUAAACAGCUACUAUUCUACAACUAUAUAUUCCAAACUUGAAACAAUUCCUUUUUAAUUUGCUAAUAUAGGAAGCUAGGUACGACAAAUUUGUAGUUUAUUUUUAUUGAAGCUAUGAAGUUCGAAGAUAUCUGAUUCUUCUCGAAAUUUCAGUACGAGACAAUUGCAAUGGCCUGGUCUGAAAUGUAUCUACGAUCUUCGGUAUGCAAGAGUGAUUCUAAUAAUAAUAAUGAUAGUAAUAAUAAUAAUACAGAUUAACCUGUAUAUAUGGCAACCCUGUUUCGCAUGGCAUAUUUUCACACGACCCCAUACUAGUAUAAAGAUGUGUUCAACAUCAUCACUUUCGCUUUCGCAUUGCCGUUCGUAAUUGAAUGUGUUAGUGACGGUACAAAUCUGUUUUUCUACCUGUUUUCGGAGCCAUCGUUCUGACGCUGUCUCUGGUAGCACGGUAGGACGUCCCCUUUGUUAGAAUUUCUUUCCUAUACGCAGAACGGGAAACAGUGAAACGAUAUAAAAGAGAGAGUUAGCAGAGCGGCAGCCAGUAAUACUGAAUGGGUCGUCGAGCUGCUAACAGCAUGUUGUGGAGGAACAAUUAAGGGCAAGGUAAAGUCCCGCUCAAACCGUGCUGGUCUGAAGUGCCCAGUUGGCGGCAGAAUCCAUCGUUUGCCUCGGAAGGGGAACUACGCCGAGCGUGUCAGUGCUGGUGCAUCGGUCUAUCUGGCGGCAGUGAUGGAGUACUUGGUUGCCGAAGUGUUGGAGUUGACCGGUAACGCUGCCCAUGACAACGAAAACGAAAAUCAUCCCUCGCCAUCUGCAGCUGGCCAUCCGUUGAAAACCCCGUCCUUUUCAGGAUGACCACAUCACUGUGAUAAAGAAAUAUUUAGAAUUGCUUUAAGUUUAGCCAGUUCUGAUACGCCUGGAAAGUAGAAUGCGCAAAUCAAGUGGAAACAUUUGUUCUAACAAUUUUUGUUUUCGGCCGCAUACUAAAGUAAUCGCGACAAAAAUACAUAUUGAUCUGUGGCAAAUCUGUUUCGCACGACAUAUUUGUAAACUAGUAUAAAGAUGUGUUCAAAAUCAUCACUUUCGCUUUCGCAUUGCCGUUCGUAAUUCAAUGUGUUAGUGACGGUGCAAAUUAUUUUAA